GGGGGAUAUUGCACAAUGGAGGAAACUCUGAUGCAGCAACGCCGCGUGAGGGAAGAAGGUCUUCGGAUUGUAAACCUUUGUCCUUGGUGACGAAACAAAUGACGGUAGCCAAGGAGGAAGCUCCGGCUAACUACGUGCCAGCAGCCGCGGUAAUACGUAGGGAGCAAGCGUUGUCCGGAUUUACUGGGUGUAAAGGGUGCGUAGGCGGCUCUGCAAGUCAGGCGUGAAAACUAUGGGCUUAACCCAUAGACUGCGUUUGAAACUGUGGGGCUUGAGUGAAGUAGAGGCAGGCGGAAUUCCUAGUGUAGCGGUGAAAUGCGUAGAUAUUAGGAGGAACACCAGUGGCGAAGGCGGCCUGCUGGGCUUUAACUGACGCUGAGGCACGAAAGCAUGGGUAGCAAAC
rnacentral:rRNA from 1 species